rnacentral:RNase_P_RNA from 1 species
CGAGAAUUUCGGCCUGCCGAACUUUUUCCAAAAAAGUUAGGAAAGUCCGGACACCAAAGAGCGGCAUAGCGGGUAAUGCCCGUCCACAGCGAUGUGAGGACCAGUGCAACAGAAAGCAGGUACAGGUAAGGCUGUAGUGAAAUCCGGUAAACUCUAUGCGGUGCAAUGCCAAGUAUAUCAUCUGCUAAGGCCUGCUCGGCCAAAGAUGAGGGGUAGGCAGCUAAAGCCGCGCAGCAAUGCACGGCUCAGAUAAAUGGCAGGCACAGGUUUUAUUUUUUUCCUGUACAGAAUCCGGCUUACAGAUUUUCUCGUGGU